rnacentral:rRNA from 1 species
UUGCUCUUCAACGAGGAAUUCCUAGUAAGCGCAAGUCAUCAGCUCGCGUUGAUUACGUCCCUGCCCUUUGUACACACCGCCCGUCGCUAGUACCGAUUGAAUGGCUUAGUGAGGCCUCAGGAUCUGCUUAGAGAAGGGGGCAACUCCAUCUCAGAGCGGAGAAUUUGGACAAACUUGGUCAUUUAGAGGAACUAAAAGUCGUAACAAGGUUUCCGUAGGUGAACCUGCGGAAGGAUCAUUAAAGAAAUUUAAUAAUUUUGAAAAUGGAUUUUUUUUUUUUUGUUUUGGCAAGAGCAUGAGAGCUUUUACUGGGCAAGAAGACAAGAGAUGGAGAGUCCAGCCGGGCCUGCGCUUAAGUGCGCGGUCUUGCUAGGCUUGUAAGUUUCUUUCUUGCUAUUCCAAACGGUGAGAGAUUUCUGUGCUUUUGUUAUAGGACAAUUAAAACCGUUUCAAUACAACACACUGUGGAGUUUUCAUAUCUUUGCAACUUUUUCUUUGGGCAUUCGAGCAAUCGGGGCCCAGAGGUUAACAAACACAAACAAUUUUAUCUAUUCAUUAAAUUUUUGUCAAAAACAAGAAUUUUCGUAACUGGAAAUUUUAAAAUAUUAAAAACUUUCAACAACGGAUCUCUUGGUUCUCGCAUCGAUGAAGAACGCAGCGAAAUGCGAUACGUAAUGUGAAUUGCAGAAUUCCGUGAAUCAUCGAAUCUUUGAACGCACAUUGCGCCCCUUGGUAUUCCAGGGGGCAUGCCUGUUUGAGCGUCAUUUCACCACUCAAGCCUCGCUUGGUAUUGGGCAACGCGGUCCGCCGCGUGCCUCAAAUCGACCGGCUGGGUCUUCUGUCCCCUAAGCGUUGUGGAAACUAUUCGCUAAAGGGUGUUCGGGAGGCUACGCCGUAAAACAACCCCAUUUCUAAGGUUGACCUCGGAUCAGGUAGGGAUACCCGCUGAACUUAAGCAUAUCAAUAAGCGGAGGA